CUCCCUGCUUCUCAGAGGGAGAUACCCCUGCUUUGUCGAUUCAUCUGAUUUCACGGUCCUGUUCCCCAUGAAUUCUUCACCCAGAUGCAUGCACUCCAGGACUCUAAGGGUCCUCAGGAGAAUCGCUACCAGAGGAGCAGUGGAAAGUGGCAGCUGUUCCCAAGCUAACCCCCUGAACCUAAUUCCAAGGCCCCUUUUCUCUGACUUCACAUUCCUGGUGCUUUGGGAGCCACAGGCUUGGAUCGGGGCAGCAGAGCUAGGCCCAGCCCUGUGAGUCCCAGCCCCAAUCUCCACUGUCGUCCUACAGAUGCAGGUAUGCCACAACCAGUCCCCAAAGUGGCACAGAAGUGGCAUCAAGAAACCUCAGUAUAAAGGACCCAGGGACCCAGCCAAAUCGGGGUAGUAUGGA